AAUCAACGUAACCCCCCAACCUGUGUGUUUAUUACUAUUACUACUUGGGGAUUGGUGGUACAAUAAGGGAUCAUAUUAGGAAUUUAUCCAUGAAGAGAAACAUUGCGCUCUUCCACCCCUACUUAACACCAGAUGCGGAUAAGGUGCUGGUCCAAUCCGCUUCUCACCGGUCUUACGUGCUCCUAAGUCUAUAAUGAAUGCAGUGGCGAGGCUCAUCUUCCUGUCCGCCCGCACGCCUCACCCUUCUGUCAGUCCCUACAUUGGCUUCCCGUAAGAUAUAGGGCUCAAUUUAAAAUUCUGGUUCUUGCUUUCAAAU